UACGGAGGGAGCGAGCGUUGUCCGAAGUUACUGGGCGUAAAGCGCGCGUAGGCGGGAAAUUAAGUGAGAAGUGAAAGGCUGGGGCUUAACCCCAUGCAGUGCUCCUCAUACUGGUUUUCUUGAGGGUGGUAGAGAGAAGUGGAAUGGCUGGUGUAGCGGUGAAAUGCGUAGAUAUCAGUCGGAACACCAGUGGCGAAGGCGGCUUCUUGGGCCAUUACUGACGCUGAGGUGCGAAAGCGUGGGGAGCAAACAGG
rnacentral:rRNA from 1 species